rnacentral:rRNA from 1 species
CAGCGGCCCUAGUGGUGAUCGUUAUUAUUGGGCCUAAAGCGUCCGUAGCCGGUUCGGUAAAUCUCUGGGUAAAUCGUUGGGCUUAACUCAACGAAUUCUGGGGAGACUGCCGAACUUGGGACCGGGAGAGGUCGGAGGUACUCCAGGGGUAGGGGUGAAAUCCUGUAAUCCUUGGGGGACCACCGGUGGCGAAAGCGUCCGACCAGAACGGGUCCGACGAUAAGGGACGAAGCCCUGGGGCGCGAACCGGAUUAGAUACCCGAGUAGUCC